rnacentral:lncRNA from 1 species
CAAAUGGCUGGUUCCAUGGAAAUUGACCACACGUAAUAGGGAGUGUUUCCCUGGAAAACCAGGCACGUUAUAUCACUUGAAAGACCUACUGCCUCCUCUUUGUUAUUUACUUCUUUAAAACCUACAAAUAAAACACCUAAGGAGUGUAGCGAUAUGGAGCACUCCAGUAAGGCAUUCUUUCAGAAUUUAUAAACAGUUCCAGAAGCAGUUAAAUUAAUGAGUUUUCAGCUGUCUGUGCAGAACUUAAGCAAAACAGGAUUUUUCUACCAGGCAUAUUAAGAUCACUUGAUCAUCACCAUGCUUGUCUUUUUGACACACACAGAAGAGGCGAAGCUAAAAUGUCUCUGAAUGGUUGUUCCAGUAUAGCAUUAAAAGCUAAAAUGGCCAGACAGAAACCAAAGAAUAAGAGAUAGGUCAGGGUGACAGUAGACAAAAGAUCAUUAAAAAGAACCUACUGAAAGUGCCUAUAGUAUCACAAUUAUAUGUCUAAGUAUGAGAUUAUAAUACAUUGGGGAACAAAAGAACCUACUGACAUAGAUCUUAUGAAACCUGUAAGUCCACAGUGACUUACCUAAAGAUCUAUCCUGAACCCAUGAUGAGACAUUGUUCGGGAAGAUCUUUAUGGACUUUAUAGCACAGAGGAGCUCUCAAAAGAAGAGCUUCAUUGAUAACAAGGGGUCUCAAGUCCAAUAACACAACUCCUUCUAAGAGACUAUGGAGAGACAAGGCACACAGUGGGGAGGUCGUAUGGACCCAGAAGCAGGAACUUCUACUAGCCACAAGAGGUUGGAAGACACACAUGGAACUGGCUCACUGUGAGCCCUUAAAGCAGGAACCACUUUGAUUUCAGACUUAGGGCUUCCAGAACUGUGUGACAAGGAAUUAAUCUUAGUUUUGGACACACAUUUGGGCAAUUGGUUACAAUAGCUGUAGGAAAGCAAGCUAGAGUUAUUUGACCAUGAGGGUGAAAAAACAGGCUCAAGGGAUAACAGAGUGACUGAACUGUCAGAAGGGUGUGAUGCCCUGGACUGGAACUCAUGAACAACCAGAAUUCAGGGAUGCGUUUUACCUAUAGCAUCCUUCUUCUCUAUCUACUUCAUCUUCACCAGCUUUCUUCACUUGACAAGAGAUACUCUCUGCUAGCAUCUCAGUUUUCCAUCUUACUGUUUCUAUCACUUCAUGAGAAUGUGUCUCUAACCACAUUUAUAAACCCCCGGGAAAGAGUCUAUGCUGCCUAUGAGGUCUAGCUACCUGUAAACUAAUCAUCAAAUUAAGCCACCAAAAUCUUAUCAAAUAGGACCACUCUGGAGAAGGCCUGAUGAGAGGUAGAUGUAAGUGGUACCAGUUACUUGUCGCCUGGGUUCUUUCCCAUAGGUAAAUCUAGAGCUGCCUUUCUUGAGGACAUUAUUACACCAUUGCAGAGUCAGACUGGCAAGGGAGUCUGAGCUUUGUCAUUUAUGGGUGGCAUUACAUUAGGACAUUGCACCGUUUCUCUAUCUUAUUUCAAAAAGGUGAAGAUAGAAAGGGCAUUGCCCAUGGUAGUGUUUGUCAAUAUAUGUGAGGCUCUAGGUGCAAUUGCCAGCACAGAACAACAAACACUCAACAACAAAUAAAGACAGAAGUAUAUGUGAUAGUGUAAACCCAGCAUUCAGGAGGCAGGAGGGUUAUGAGUUCAAGAGUAGACAGAGAGAAUUUUAGGGCCAGACAGGGCUAUAUUGAACUCUCUCUCAAAAUAAAGAUGGAGAUGGAGAUAGAACGAGGAAAUAAAGAUAAACUUGUUGUUUGAUAAGUAUGCUACAUCUGGAAGAAUUUCUGUGAUGUUAGUUAAGGACACUUAUAGAUACAGAGGGUUUGAGCAACACUUAUGAGACAGAUAGGGUCAUUGCUUUAUUUUCCCAGAUGGGAUUUCAAGCUUUAAGCUCCUGAGAAAACCAGGGCAGGAAUUUAGGGUACUCAACUACCAGAUUAGUGUUUCUUUGUUAUUUACAGGAUCUGUCCCCAUUUCUGUGGAUAUAAAAUAAGGUCUGAUUUAGAAGGUGUCACUCAAAUAAGGAAAAAGAAUCACCCUUAGAACAGACAAGAAUGUUAGGUUUUAGGCUUCAUAGCAAUGUAGGAUAAAGAUGCUUAAAAAGAAAAAGGACAAAAGCAAUGGGUUGGAAGUUGAAAGGUGAGGAACCCAGUUAAAUGUCCACAGAAUACCGCUUGCCCUGGAAUGUACAGGAUGCAAUCAUUUUGAAACAACAUUUAGAACACAGGGAAGCCAUGGUGGGAUCAGAGCCCUUUAAAUUUUAAGCUAAUUUCUUAUAACUACCAGCUCCAUUCUGUGUUUGUUUUCCUUUUGCUUUCUCUCAUUAUGUAAUGAUAUUUGGAAAGAAACUACUUGGCUCAGUUUUUGUUAGUGAAGAAAAAAAGAAAAAAAAAGGUAUGCCUUCUGCAAGCCAGAGUUGAUCCAAAUAAGAGAGACCCCCACUGUGUGUGGCAAGUAUGAUCCAGCUCAUUUUUAAACUUUAUAACAUCAACAUGGUGCUCAAUGUUUAUGUUUGAAAGUCUCAGUAAGAUCAACUAUACGUUCAGAUUGCAGUGGACCAGAAAGGUCUGGUUUCUUCACAACACAGUGAUCAGAAUGGAGGGCUCUCUCUCUCUCUCUCUCUCUCUCUCUCUCUCUCUCUCUCUCUCUCUCUCUCUCUCCCUCACACACACACACACACACACACACACACACACACACACACAUAUGAUUAUAUGCAAGUUGUACAAACAUAUAUCUGUAUACACACAUCACUUAUAAUAUAUGUGUUAUAAAGAUAUUAUGUAUUUGAAACGCCCCAUUCUUGGUACAGUCCUGCUUUAAAUGACUAGUCUAAGGGUGAGGCUAUUUUCUGCAUUUGUACAAAGAGAUCAAUGCUAGUUUUCUUUACCAUGAUAUUGUGCAUUGUGAAUGCAGCCAACAGAGGGACAGUUUGAGGUGUACACACUGGUAUGAGAGGAUACUCAAACAACUCACACCUAGUUUGGGGCCAUUGUAUUCCCAAAACACCAUGACUAAUUCCAUCUAUAAAUCUGACUAUUACAUUCUAAUUCUUUCCAAGUUUUGACAUGACAAACGUCAGCCCAGCAGUCCCACCACCACCUGACUUACUCUGAAAUAUUGUGCUUUGUUAACGAUUCUUUUCUUCAGUGUCCCUUGCUGUUCUUGGUCUGGGAAAGUCUAUGCCGGAGCAACACCCUAACCAGAGAACCUUUCUGAGAAGUUCCAAUCUCUGGGUCUGCAAUAUCUCAAUGCUCAGAUUUUAUAAGUAAAAUGUACAUGAUUUUUAAAGAAUUUGCUUUUUACAGUGGCCCCUGCAAAAUAGGUAUGGUUCUAGUUCUAAUUUUUUGCUGUAGAACAUCUUCUCUGGGUAUAUGUGCACUAAGGAUCAUGCUUGCAUGCCAUAAAGGCAUUGCUAUACGGUCCCGCAUUCACUAGUAUGAGUUGCAUACUUCCUGACUCACUGCAACACCCUAGGUUGUGUUCUAAGUGCUUGGGGUAUGUGAGUGCACAAAGCACAGUCAACUCACUCUUGUAUAAUCUAUUUGGUAAAGUACUUUAAAAAUCACAGUAAAUGUGGUCAAUCAGCGAUGGGGAAAAGGAAAAGGGAGCCAACAAGUGGUGACCAAGAGUUUUGGCACAAAGGCAGAUACAGGUUGGAUUUUAAAUAAGAGUGGUAGAGAUACAGUCAUUAGCACAACUUUUAUUAUUCAAGCAACUUGAGGUCCUUGAGGAAGUAUGACAUUUGGAUGCACACAGUUGUAUGGACUUGAAUACGAGGAUAUUUCAGGCAGUCGGAUCAGGUACUGCAAAGCACAGAAGAAAGUGAGCCUUUAUGUAGGCCUAUUUUCUAAUUCCUGGGAUCUGUGAUAAUUUUUUACCCUACAGGAGGGACAGUGAGAUGGGACCAAGUUACAGAUCUUACAGUAGGGAGGUCAUUCUGGAUGAGUCAGGUCAGUCCAAAGGCCUCACAGGCGUCUUCAUGCUAAGGAAAACGGGUGGAGCAGAAAGAUGCAUAGCUUUCCUUUAAGUCAACAGAAAUGCAACAACCAUUGAUCAAGUAUGGCGGCUGGAGUCUAGAGGAUCCAGACAGGACAAUACUUACUGUCUGGCUUCCAGGUCUUCCCACCCCAUCCUAGUUGCCCCCAGACAAACCUGCUGGACAUCAGGCCUUUGCUGUCCAGAGGAAGAGGCGAGGAGGUAGGAGAAACACCUGAGGAAAGUGAGAUGCAGAUGUGGGGGAGUCAAACACAGAAGCAUGGGACCUUCGAGACCAGUACAAAUAAGGAAGAGGAGUUACCAGUUGGCAUUUCCACAGGAGCACAGUCCUGCAGAAACUUUGAGCCCAUGUGAAACUUCUGAUUUCUAGAAUGUAAGGUGAUGUACAUAUGAGUUGUUUUAGGCCACCAUGUCUGUGUUAGACUGUUCAUCUACAAUAGGAAGCUAAUGAAUGAGUUCAAUAAAUAGUAACUCUAAUGGUCAGAUAAUUUUCAGAUAACACUAUGCUGUAUUGUUCAUACAUGGCAGACACUGAGCUUGGAGUGGAGACUCUGGACUAAACAAACAGUUCCCCACUUAAAAGCUAUGCUCUCCAAGAAAUGACUAGUAUUUAGCAUCUUCAGAAUGAGCCAAAAUCUAUGACUAAAAGUGAGUACAGCGGCUGUGAGGGCUUAAGCAGGGGGUGUUUAAUCAGACUGACGAGACAGGCAGGAAGAGUCCCAAGGGGAGUGAUAUUUUAACUAAAAUUUAAUGACUGUUAAUAAUUACUCUGACAAAGAUGGGAGAGGUGAUGUUGUAAACAUAAGUAAUGUCAAGGUCAGAGAGGCACAGACAAAGCUGACAUAGCCAGAGAACUGCGAAUAGCUUGCAAUUCACUGGGAAGUAAAAUAAGAUGCGCCACAAGCUUAAUGCCAACAUGGGAUGCACCUUAGAAACGGAAGUGUUAGCACCAACUUAAUGUUACCACCAAUAUCUCUUACAUGCCAUAAAAUGCAGACUAAGUGAAUAAAUAACUAGAUGAGUGUAAACAGGACCCAUCAGUUUUGCUUUAGGUAAAUAUGUUUUAUCUGUCUGUCUGUCUGUCUGUCUGUCUGUCUGUCUGUCUGUCUGACGGUCUAUCAUCUGUCUACCAACUAUCUAGCUAAUAUCUAUCUAUCUAUCUAUCUAUCUAUCUAUCUAUCUAUCUAUCUAUCUAUCUAUCUAUCUAUCUGCCUGUCUAUCAUCUGUCUAUCUAUCCAUCUAUCUAUUUAUCUAUCUUGCUUCAGAGUCUUAGGCAGCCCAGGCUACACGGGACUUGCUAUGUAGCCAAGAAUGAUUUUCAACUUCUGGUCCUCUUGUCUUCAUCUUCUGAGUUCUGGGAUUACAGGAGUGUACUACCAUACCUGGCUAGUUUUACGUGGUGCUGUGGCUCAGCUCAAAGCCAGGGCUUCAUACACUCUUCCAACUGAGCUAAACAUCUAGCCUGAAUGCUUAUUACAAACAAAACAAAACAAAACAAAACAAAACAAAAAAAACCCCACAAUUUCCAUGUAAAAAUCAAGUAGUAAAAAUGCCAUAUAAAGUUUAUGUAAAAAAAUAAUAAAAUUGGGGCAAAAUACUCAGUGACAUAAAAUUAAGUAAAAACCUAGUAAAAAGUGACUUUCACAUGUUGGUGAUUAAGAAAUUAAAAACUACUACAGUAAACAUCAAUGUUGGUACCAGAGAUGAGACUCAGUUGGCAGGGUGCUCACCCAGCAUGCAUGAGACUCUUGUUUGAUUCCCACCUCUAUACAAAACUAGAUGUGGUAGUUCACUCCUAUAAUCCUAGCAUUUGGGAGGUAGUAGCAGAAGGGAUUUUGAAGACCCAGUUCAUUCUCAGCUUCAUAGCAAGUUCAAGGUCAACCUGGGCCAUACUGACCCUGUCUCAAAAAUCAAAAUCUACUUUGCCUUUAAAAGGACCCACUCACUGUUGCCUUGUUAGGGAGUGAGCACUGAGGGGGCUGGCUACUUCCUAACAACCUGGGCGAACAGAGAGAGCUAGCACAGAUUUUAAGGUAUUGUGUGUGAGGGAGAUUUUAUACUCCUGCCCAGUCGUGUUCAGCUGGAUGCGGUUUCCUGUGUAACGUAAUACUUCUUGCCGAUAAAAUCAUGUAUAAGCAAAUGAAAAAAACCCGUGUCAAGCUCAAAUUUCCAUCAGUUGGAAUUAGAACAGGCUAACAUUUCAAAGCUGAUACAACAGCAGCAAAGGGAUCUUCUAACCACAUAGAGCAUUUCUCCCACUCCCCAAAGCUCCUUUUCCUUCUGUCUCCAUCAACAGCUCUUGAGUCCAAGAACAACUGCUGUUCUGGUUUCGACGGUUGCUCUUCCUGUGGAUUCUUAUGCUGCUUAGAGCCAUGCAGUCUCCUGUGUUUGGAUCUGGCUUCAUUGACUUCGAUUGCAUUGAGAUUCUUCCCCACUGCUGCCCUUAGUAGCACCUUGUAUAACUCAGGGGAUUUCCAUAUGUGAUGGAUACAGGAACCCACGAUAGUCUUGUUUUUCUGUAGUUUUCACCUUGUUCUGUUCCAGUGAAUGUUUUGUGCACAUCUGUGUGUGUAUGUUCUCAUUUCCCUCUGGUAAAUAUCUAGAAGAGAAGGUACUGACUCAUAGAGGAUGUAUAUGGGUAACUUUGUGUAAAAAAACAAAAAACAAAAAAAAAACAGAUGGAUUUCAGAAGAUUAUACAUCUCUUUAUGCUUCUAUCAGUAGUUGUUCCACUUCCUAACAACACUGAGUGUGGUUGAUCUUUCAGCUCUCCUACUAAGUGCACUGUGGUAACACCUUGCGUCUAUAAUUUGCAUUUCUUGAAUAAUGAUAUCUUUGGACACCUUUCCUCUCCUGUGCCAAGUGGAGAUAUUAAUUGGUAUUGUUCAUAAUAUUUUUUCAUGAUUUGGUAUCGGUAUGGUACUUAUAUUUAGAAAUGUUCCCAUCCUUGAUAUUUCUGAAAAAUCUAACAGAAUAUCCAGUUAUUUCUUCCUUAAUUAUUUGAUGGAAUUUACCAGCGAAGCCAUCAGAGUUUGGAGUCUUUAUGCAAAGACUUGAAAAAUAUGUCAGCUUUUCUUUUUCUUUUAUUUUUGAUAAUUUUGUAUAUUAGUACUGUGUAUAUCAUUUUUUACCCCAAUGUCUUCCCUUUCAACUCCUUCUAUGUUCCCUCCACUGCCUCCCUAACUCAUGAUCUCUUCUUUAAUCGUUACAAUUGCACACACACACACACACACACACACACACACAGAGAGAUAUACACAUAGACACACACACACACACACAUAGACACACACACACAGACACACACACACAGACACACACACACAUAGACAUACACACACAGAGACAUACACACACACAAGCACACACACACACACACACACACACACACACACACACACACCCUGCCUGUGGAGUAUAAUUUACUGUUGCUCACAUGGCUCAUGUGUAAUGUUUGUAGGGCUGACCAGUUGGGAUGUGGACCCUAUCAGGAAGCUCAGCCCUAAAGGAGACUGAUUGUUCUUUUCUCAGCAGUCAUUAAUUGGUUGCCUGUAGGUCUUCUUCAUCCAGGAGUGGAGCCCUGUGAGAUCUCUAGGCUGACAUUCCAACUGGAGUUAUCACCUGUGCUGGUCUUAUUUAGGAAGCCAUAUUGUUAAGACUCCCUGUCCUAUAGAGAAGACACAGUCUCAUAUCAGACUCCCUCGAAUCAUUUAGCCUUUAAUUAAAACUAGCCCAGCCCAUGAAAGUCACAGGAAAC